GAUGAACGCUGGCGGCGUGCCUAAUACAUGCAAGUCGAGCGAACGGACGAGAAGCUUGCUUCUCUGAUGUUAGCGGCGGACGGGUGAGUAACACGUGGAUAACCUACCUAUAAGACUGGGAUAACUUCGGGAAACCGUAGCUAAUACCGGAUAAUAUUUUGAACCGCAUGGUUCAAAAGUGAAAGACGGUCUUGCUGUCACUUAUAGAUGGAUCCGCGCUGCAUUAGCUAGUUGGUAAGGUAACGGCUUACCAAGGCAACGAUGCAUAGCCGACCUGAGAGGGUGAUCGGCUACACUGGAACUGAGACACGGUCCAGACUCCUACGGGAGGCAGCAGUAGGGAAUCUUCCGCAAUGGGCGAAAGCCUGACGGAGCAACGCCGCGUGAGUGAUGAAGGUCUUCGGAUCGUAAAACUCUGUUAUUAGGGAAGAACAUAUGUGUAAGUAACUGUGCACAUCUUGACGGUACCUAAUCAGAAAGCCACGGCUAACUACGUGC
rnacentral:rRNA from 1 species